GUGUUUGGUUUGUUUGGGUCGGUUGGUUCCCUGCUUGUGCAGCGACAUUGGUCCUUCUAACCUCUUCAAUCUUGUUUCAAGCGCAACAAGCCUUGGACUAAAUUGGUUUCCUGUGUUUUGUACCUAUGAUGUUGGUAUUGUUCCGUCUACUAGUCCCUUGUUCGUCUUGUGCUGCUCACGCGGUGCGAGAUGAACCAUGUAGUGUCCUUCGUUGUCCUUUCAUAGUUUUGUUUAAUGAACCAUGAAACGGCCAAUGUUGUAACAGACACUCGAAUUCUCGGAUAUAGAACCUUAAGCAGACAAGAUGUGGUCUCUGACCUCAAUUUGUUCAAACUGAGCGUUCUCGCUUCUUACGAACGACUGUUGAUUCUGUUUGAGAUGCGGAUACUUUCGGUCCAACAUGCUCAUUCGGUGUCGACGUCAAAGAAGGAUG
rnacentral:misc_RNA from 1 species